rnacentral:rRNA from 1 species
GGAUCAAUAUGUCGGUCGUGCUUCGGUACGUACUGGUAUCAUUGGUUUCUCCUUUCUGACGAACCAUGAUGUCAUUAAUUUGGUGUCAUGGGGAAUCAGGACUGUUACUUUGAAAAAAUUAGAGUGUUUAAAGCAGGCUUACGCUUGAAUACAUUAGCAUGGAAUAAUGAAAUAGGACGUUUAAUUCUAUUUUGUUGGUUUCUAGGAUUGACGUA